GACGAACGCUGGCGGCGUGCUUAACACAUGCAAGUCGAACGGAAAGGCCCUGCUUUUGUGGGGUGCUCGAGUGGCGAACGGGGGAGUAACACGUGAGUAACCUGCCCUUGACUUUGGGAUAACUUCAGGAAACUGGGGCUAAUACCGGAUAGGAGCUCCGGCUGCAUGGUGGGGGUUGGAAAGUUUCGGCGGUUGGGGAUGGACUCGCGGCUUAUCAGCUUGUUGGUGGGGGAGUGGCUUACCAAGGCUUUGACGGGUAGCCGGCCUGAGAGGGUGACCGGCAACAUGGGGACUGGGAUCCGGCCCAGACUCCUACGGGAGGCAGAGGUGGGGAAUAUUGCACAAUGGGCGGAGGCCGGAUGCAGCAACGCCGCGUGCGGGAUGACGGCCUUCGGGUUGUAAACCGCUUUCGCCUGUGACGAAGCGUGAGUGACGGUAAUGGAUAAAGAAGCACCGGCAAACUACGU
rnacentral:rRNA from 1 species